rnacentral:rRNA from 1 species
GACAGAGGGGGCAAGCGUUGCUCGGAAUUACUGGGCGUAAAGGGCUCGUAGGUGGCCAACUAAGUCAGACGUGAAAUCCCUCGGCUUAACCGGGGAACUGCGUCUGAUACUGGAUGGCUGGAGUUUGGGAGAGGGAUGCGGAAUUCCAGGUGUAGCGGUGAAAUGCGUAGAUAUCUGGAGGAACACCGGUGGCGAAGGCGGCAUCCUGGACCAAUACUGACACUGAGGAGCGAAAGCCAGGGGAGCAAACGGG